UCAAGAUCCGUAGAAGUUCUCUAACGAGUAACGAGUGUUGUGUGUCUCUGGUUCGGCCGCGUGUCAAAUUAGGCAAAGAGGGCGAGUGGGGUUGAGGUGGGCGUUUGGCGGCAAAGCAAAGUGAAAUUUAUCGCCUUUGGCUUUUUGGAAUGGCGCGACUAUCCAGCAUCCACCCGGCACCACUUAGCUGCCCGUAAAUGUGUCACGUAUGAUCUGCUCACAGAUGUUUAACCAUAGAUCACGCGAAACGUGCCGUGCUAGGCGUCAUGGCGGCGAUGUGCCGUCGGGUUCGGUGUUUUUGAGACGGCAGUAAAAGGAUUCGGCAUCGAAGCAGAUGAGGAACGCCACCAUCCUCUAACAAUACCAAAAAUGAAAAAAGUAUUCAAACCGGAAGUCCAUGGCUCGGAGAACGAGUCCAAGGAUUUAACCCCGGGCAGUUGACCUCAAGACUCCCGCGGCCAAGGCUUUGCCAGAUAGCAGCCUUAAACUCCAGGACUGGUUGGGUGAGCGAAGGAGGGGCAAGACGCUGGAUAUACCAAGGGCAAUAUAACGGGUGGCAUCAUUUACCCCUCGCCUCUCUCCCCCAGUCCCCCCUAAGAACCAUAAUGAGGCUAAUAGACACGUACAGCUCGUAAAAAGUAUUCGUCGAGUUUUUAAAGUUAAGUGCCACACCCCCUCUGCCCCUCCAUCGUCAUAAGCCCGACGCUGCUGCCACCUACAACAAUUUUGUUAUACAGUCUUCAUCCAGGACGAAUGGUCGAGACUUUACAUCUCAUUGAAAAUGCACCCUUAAACGAUGAAAUACAAGUCAUCCACUUCAUCGUCUGAUUCAAUUCAUCGCUGCGGUUAUUUAAUCAAACAUCUCCCGUCUGGUGUUGUGUGUGAGAAGGGUGCGACCCUCCGACAUCCCUUAUACAGUAGCCAUUUGUCGGGUUUUGAGGGCCACCCUAAGGGAUCUUCCGACACCGUAACAAUAUGCUGUGCCGCAGGGGUGGAAAAUGGAUUUGACAAAUCGUUAAUUGACGCAACAACCGACCGCGAGGGUAGUUCUGGAAUUUUAAGAUACGAACCGAAAAUUGUGUCUCUUUGAAGCGGACCCACUUUUUAAGGCACUGCCGACAGAUCUACGGGCUGCCAUUGACGCGAGGCGAAGACAGGUUAAAGCGUUAUGGUUGUUCUUGGCGAAAGAUUGGAUUUAUGCGUUUUUAAAUGAGGCCAGAACGGACAGAGAAAAAAAGACCCAUUAGGCAUCACGAUGAAAACCAUAGUGAGAACACGAUUCUAUACUUGGGAUUUAUGGGGAUUAUUAGUAUCCCAUAGAGACAGAGGAAUCUAUGGGAUUCAAUUUAUAGUUCUGUACUUAAAUAUAUAUAUAUAUAUAUAUAAACACAGGAUAGAUUAUAGAAAAGAGAUAAACGUGAGUGACGUCACGACCUGAAGAUCUUGCAGAUCCAAUUGGAUUGUUCGAUUGGAUUAAUUCGAACAAUUAAUAUAAAUAUAAUCCUAUAACCCCGUGCUUCAUGGGUUUUCUAAUCCUAGGUUGUUGUACCGUUAUUAGUAUAUAUUAUACAUUCUGUGUACCAGUACUACCACUGGUUUUACAACUACUAGUCUAACUCUAGUCUCAUAGUAUUCUAACUUUUUUCUAGGGACAUUUGAAACGACUCAAUUCGCCCUUUGUACCACUGCCGCUCUAUGGAAUUCCAGGUGCAGCUCAUCGAUCAUCAUUGGUUGCUGAGUAGCAGUUCUUUACGUAUAAUAUAAUGGCAGACACGAUCGUCAUCCAGUAUUAUACAUAAAGAAGAUAUACAGGGUUAGUCAGUAGAAACGCACCAGCAGAAGU